CUCUGUGUACAAUGGAAUAAAAUCAUAGUGCAAACUGGAAGAAUGGCAGAAUGUGAUGACUCAAAAGAGGAUUUAGAUUCAGACAUUGAAUGGUUAGAGCUCUGACUGUCAGCCAAGGAGGACAUGAAGGCAGCACGGCAGAGAGUGUCACAGUUGCAGUGGCUGAUCGCCCUGAUCGCCAAGUGGGGAGCAUCCGACAUUGACGUUCUCUCCUCUUCGCUCCUGAGCCACCUUCCGGCAUCCCAGCGGAGCCCUUCCCGUUCCCAGGAUCCAGUUCUCUUGGGCUCCGCCUGUGGCUGUGCUGUCUGGGACGUGUCCAGGUUGCUGAAUGUGGACCAAAGGUGGGGGCCCCACUUUGGACCCGGACCUCAGCAGACGACUCCCUUGGCCCUGUCUGUGGAGUGUCUCCUAGUCCUGCCUGACGGCACCUCCAAGAGCUGGCCUGGCCCGUCUCUAGAAAACCCCCCCCAGGAGUGAACCAACCAUUCAGCCCAACAACAGACGCAUCUUGAGGAUGAUCGCCCCUGCUGGGAGGGUCCUGCCCAGCCACAGUGCCAAACACCUUAGCCUUCCACUGCGGCCUGAAAUGAAGCACAACUCUGGUUCCAGGUGCCCCUUCCCUUCCUGCACGUGUUUCCACCGAACUCCUUCCCUGAGUUCCAGUUUGAGUCCCAGUCUGCCUGCAUGCAUCCCGGGUGAUUCCAGCAGACUGUCCGCUGCCCCGCGUGGUCUCUUCUCCUGGAGCUCAGACAACAGGAAUCCAGACCCAACCUGUGGAGUUUGACAUCCUGUUGGGUCUCAGUUACUGGAGCCUAGCUGCGGUCUUCUUCAGAAAGUAAACAGGCUGGCUUUGUGCCCACAUUGCACCCACAUUGCAGUUAGCCAGCCAUUCUCCCUGGACUGUGGGGCCCGAGCUCUUGGGUCCGUAACAUUUCCGCCACCGUUUGUCCUCUGAUCAGUUCCCCUCUUGCUUGGUCACGCUGUGUAGAGGGAUGACCUGAUCUAGGCCAUACACCUCAUGCUUUGUGGUGUCGUACACCUCACACUUCUUAAUAAUCACAUUGACCGUGCUCGGAGGAUCAUUCAAGCUAUCUGAUUUUUUUU
rnacentral:lncRNA from 1 species